rnacentral:rRNA from 1 species
AACGAACGCUGGCGGCAGGCUUAACACAUGCAAGUCGAACGGGAUCUUCGGAUCUAGUGGCGGACGGGUGAGUAACGCGUGGGAACGUGCCCUUUGGUUCGGAAUAGCCCUGGGAAACUGGGAGUAAUACCGGAUGUGGUCGAGAGACGAAAGAUUUAUCGCCAAAGGAUCGGCCCGCGUUGGAUUAGGUAGUUGGUGGGGUAAUGGCCUACCAAGCCGACGAUCCAUAGCUGGUUUGAGAGGAUGAUCAGCCACACUGGGACUGAGACACGGCCCAGACUCCUACGGGAGGCAGCAGUGGGGAAUCUUAUACAAUGGGGGAAACCUUGAUCUAGCCAUGCCGCGUGAGCGAUGAAGGCCUUAGGGUUGUAAAGCUCUUUCGUGGGGGAAGAUAAUGACUGUACCCCAAGAAGAAGCCCCGGCUAACUCCGUGCCAGCCGCCGCCGUAACAC